rnacentral:rRNA from 1 species
CCCUUAGAUGUCCGGGGCCGCACGCGCGCUACACUGAAGGAAUCAGCGUGGCUUUCUCCCUGACCCGAAAGGGUUGGGAAACCCGUUGAAUCUCCUUCGUGAUAGGGAUUGGGGCUUGAAAUUGUUCCCCAUGAACGAGGAAUUCCCAGUAAGCGCGAGUCAUAAGCUCGCGUUGAUUACGUCCCUGCCCUUUGUACACACCGCCCGUCGCUACUACCGCUUGAACGGUUUAGUGAGGGCCUCGGAUUGGUCUCGGCCCGCUCUUUACCGGGCGGCGCCGUUGGUCGAGAAGACGCUCGAACUUGAUCGUUUAGAGGAAGUAAAAGUCGUAACA